rnacentral:rRNA from 1 species
UACGUAGGGUGCAAGCGUUGUCCGGAAUUAUUGGGCGUAAAGAGCUCGUAGGCGGUCUGUCGCGUCGGGUGUGAAAACUCGGGGCUCAACCCCGAGCCUGCAGCCGAUACGGGAAGACUAGAGUGCUGUAGGGGAGACUGGAAUUCCUGGUGUAGAGGUGAAAUGCGCAGAUAUCAGGAGGAACACCGGUGGCGAAGGCGGCUUUCUGGGCAGUAACUGACGCUGAGGAGCGAAAGCGUGGGGAGCGAACAGG